rnacentral:rRNA from 1 species
GAUGAACGCUAGCUACAGGCUUAACACAUGCAAGUCGAGGGGAAACGAUAGAGAAAGCUUGCUUUUUCUAGGCGUCGACCGGCGCACGGGUGAGUAACGCGUAUCCAACCUGCCCAUCACUUGGGGAUAACCUUGCGAAAGUAAGACUAAUACCCAAUGAUAUCUCUAGAAGACAUCUGAAGGAGAUUAAAGAUUUAUCGGUGAUGGAUGGGGAUGCGUCUGAUUAGCUUGUUGGCGGGGUAACGGCCCACCAAGGCGACGAUCAGUAGGGGUUCAGAGAGGAAGGUCCCCCACAUUGGAACUGAGACACGGUCCAAACUCCUACGGGAGGCAGCAGUGGGGAAUAGUGGUCAAGGGGCGAGAGCCUGAACCAGCCAAGUAGCGUGCAGGAUGACGGCCCUAUGGGUUGUAAACUGCUUUUAUAAGGGAAUAAAGUGAGCCUCGUGAGGCUUUUUGCAUGUACCUUAUGAAUAAGGACCGGCUAAUUCCGUGCCAGCAGCCGCGGUAA